AGCCUUUGAUGAAUCUUUUUUACUUCUGACAUCUCCACUGAAAGUGUUGCAUAUGGCAAUGCUUGAUUAUACACUUGAUUCUGAGGCUC